rnacentral:rRNA from 1 species
CUUGGUCAUUUAGAGGAAGUAAAAGUCGUAACAAGGUUUCCGUAGGUGAACCUGCGGAAGGAUCAUUCACAAUGAGUGUUUUAUGGCACUCUUUAAAAAUCCAUAUCCACCUUGUGUGCAAUGUUUGUUGGGAGAGAGGCAACUCUUUCCCUUCACAAAUAUCAACCUAUAUCUUUAACAACAUACGCCUGAUAACAUAUUAUGAAUAUACUUAAUUCAAAAUAUAACUUUCAACAACGGAUCUCUUGGCUCUCGCAUCGAUGAAGAACGCAGCGAAAUGCGAUACGUAAUGUGAAUUGCAGAAUUCAGUGAAUCAUCGAAUCUUUGAACGCAUAUUGCGCUCUUUGGUAUUCCGAAGAGCAUGCUUGUUUGAGUAUCAGUAAACACCUCAACCUCUCUUUUUGACAAAAAAAGGGAGGGUGGACUUGAGCUAUCCCAACGACCUUCACCGGUAGGCGGGCGGCUUGAAAUGCAGGUGCAGCUGGACUUUUAUCUGAGCUAAAAGCAUAUCUAUUUAGUCCUCGUCAAACAGGAUUAUUACUUUUGCUGCAGCUAACAUAAAGGAUAAUUGUCCUCUCUGCUGACUGAUGCAGGAUUUUACGACACUUUAUGUGUUGUUCAACUCGAUCUCAAAUCAAGUAAGACUACCCGCUGAACUUAAGCAUAUCAAUAAGCGGAGGAA